AAUGGAACGUUGGCGGCGUGGAUUAGGCAUGCAAGUCGAGCGCGAUAUGUAGCAAUACAUGGAGAGCGGCGAAAGGGAGAGUAAUACGUAGGUAUCUACCCUCGGGUCUGGGAUAGCAGCGGGAAACUGCUGGUAAUACCAGAUAACGUCUCCGGACCAAAGGUGUGAUUCCACCUGAGGAGGAGCCUACGGCCUAUUAGCUAGUUGGUAGGGUAACGGCCUACCAAGGCAAAGAUGGGUAUGGGGUGUGAGAGCAUGCCCCCACUCACUGGGACUGAGACACUGCCCAGACACCUACGGGUGGCUGCAGUCGAGAAUCUUCGGCAAUGGGCGAAAGCCUGACCGAGCGACGCCGCGUGCGGGAUGAAGGCCUUCGGGUUGUAAACCGCUGUCGUAGUGGAGGAAAUGUAGGAGAGUUAUCUCUUCUACUUGACUAAUACUAGGAGGAAGGACCGGCUAAUCUCGUG
rnacentral:rRNA from 1 species